GAUUAACGCUGGCGGCGUGCAUAACACAUGCAAGUCGAACGAUGAAACUUAACUGAUUUCUUCGGUAUGAUUUUAAGUGGUUUAGUGGCGGACGGGUGAGUAACGCGUGAGUAACCUGCCUUGCAGAAGGGGAUAGCCUUUGGAAACGAAGCCUAAUACCCUAUGAUAUGAUAAUAUCUCAUGAUAUUAUCAUCAAAGAUUUAUCGCUCUAAGAUGGACUUGCGUCUGAUUAGUUAGUUGGUGAGGUAACAGCUCACCAAGGCAGCGAUCAGUAGCCGGCUUGAGAGAGUGUACCGCAACACUGGGACUGAGACAAGUCCCAGACUUCGGCGGGAGGCAGCAGGGGUGAAUUAGGCACGCUGGGGGAAACAAUGAGGCAGCGAGGCCGUGAGAUUUAGAAGGCCUUCGGGUUGUAAAGAUCUUUUGUAUGGGAAGAAAAUGACAGUACCAUACGAAUAAGGACCGGCUAAUUACGUG
rnacentral:rRNA from 1 species